UGGGAAUUUUGGACAAUUGGGCGAAAGCCUGAUCCAGCAAUGCCGCGUGUGUGAAGAAGGCCUUCGGGUUGUAAAGCACUUUUGUCCGGAAAGAAAUCCUUGGCUCUAAUACAGUCGGGGGAUGACGGUACCGGAAGAAUAAGCACCGGCUAACUACGUGCCAGCAGCCGCGGUAAUACGUAGGGUGCAAGCGUUAAUCGGAAUUACUGGGCGUAAAGCGUGCGCAGGCGGUUUGCUAAGACCGAUGUGAAAUCCCCGGGCUCAACCUGGGAACUGCAUUGGUGACUGGCAGGCUAGAGUAUGGCAGAGGGGGGUAGAAUUCCACGUGUAGCAGUGAAAUGCGUAGAGAUGUGGAGGAAUACCGAUGGCGAAGGCAGCCCCCUGGGCAAGUACUGACGCUCAUGCACGAAAGCGUGGGGAGCAAACNGGAUUAAUNCCCCUGGUAGUCCACGCCCUAAAANGAUGUCAACUAGUUGUUUGGGGAUUCAUUUCCUUAGUAACGUAGCUAACGCGUGAAGUUGACCGCCUGGGGAGUACGGUCGCAAGA
rnacentral:rRNA from 1 species